CUUUAAGAUGCCAUCUUGAACUAAGUCAGGAAAAUUUCCAUGACGUAUACACCCUUUAGUUAUGGCCUUGUAUGUUUGCCAAGUUAAGGGAGGUCCUAAAUUGAAUAAAGUAAAAGAAGUGUUACUUUUUCAUAUAUGAACUACGGUAACCCUAAAAUGGAGACACUUAAGGUAUAAAUAGGUGUACUUUUAAAUGUUAAGACACAGAGGAGAGACUUGGAGACAGACGCUGCUCCAUCUUAAAAUGACAGAGAGGCUGACAUGAU